GGAAACCUAGCCCACGCCGGCCCAUCAAUAGACCUUGCCAUCUUCGCCCUACACUUAGCAGGAGGAGACCCAAUCCUAUUCCAACACUUAUUCUGAUUCUUUGGCCACCCGGAAGUCUACAUUCUUAUCCUACCCGGAUUUGGAAUAAUCUCACACAUUGUUACCCAUCACUCCAGCAAAAAAGAACCCUUCGGCUAUAUAAGCAUAGUUUGAGCCAUACUAGCAAUUACCGUCCUAGGAUUUAUUGUUUGAGCACAUCACAUGUUCACAGUAGGACUAGACGUCGACACCCGUGCCUACUUCUCAGCAGCCACCAUAACCAUUGCAGUCCCCACCGGAAUCAAAGUGUUUAGCUGAGCCGCUACAAUCUUCGGCGGAAAAAUCCGUUGAACCGUACCAAUAUUCUGAGCUGCAGGAUUCAUUUACCUAUUUACACUCGGCGGCCUCACCGGCAUUAUAUUAUCAAACUCUUCCCUAGACACAAUACUACAUGACACAUAUUACGUAGUUGCCCACUUCCACUACGUACUCUCCAUAGGAGCCGUAUUCGCCAUCAUAGCUGGACUAGUAUACUGAUUCCCAAUACUAACAGGAUACUCACUAAACUCAACCCUAGCAAAAGCCCAAUUCUGAGCCAUGUUCACAGGAGUCAACAUCACUUUCUUCCCACAACAUAUACUAGGCCUCGCAGGAAUACCUCGACGAUACUCGGACUUCCCAGACGCCUAUGCUAUUUGAAAUACCAUUUCCUCAAUGGGUUCAAUUAUAUCCCUAGUCAGCGCUCUCACCAUAAUCGUAAUUUUAUGAGAAGCAUUC
rnacentral:lncRNA from 1 species